GUCGAAAACCGACUUAAUGCAGUGAGUCGGCAAUAGUCAGAUUGUAUAAACGUCAUUUUGAUGUAGGACAAUUUGUCUUAAUAAGACAUUGGCUUAAAUUCCAUUUUAUCAUUAUUACCGGCACUCUUAGAAGGCUUACAAUGGCAACUUCUGUGCAGUAAACAUUUGGUUAGACUAAUAACUAAAUUAUUAUGCUAAUUAAUGAAUAAUGAAUACUGACCACCGGAUGCUUGCUCAUGCAGUUCGUGCGAACGAAUAGUAGGCCUGUCUGUUCAAUAGUGUAGCUGAACUAUAAGUUGGUGUUGUUGAAUUUGUUUUUAUAGAUUAUUAUUGUUGACUCGUCAUACGUGAUCAUUAGCUCAAAUUGAACAGCACUUUAAUACUGCCAGUGUGGUCUUAAUUUUAAAAGUUGUAGCAAGUAUUGAUGGCAGCGUACGACAAAUAGUGUUAGAAGUAUGGAGCAUCAGUUACAGGUCAAAAUACGAGUAAUUGUGGUCAAGAGAAGAUAAUCCCAGCAAACCGAACUCAUUGAUAUUGUCAUCUUGGACCUUUCGGUUAAUGUUGCCAUAUUAUAAAGAAAAACCGGUGUUUCAUGUAAGCAUGUUCCUGGGGAGCCCCAUGUUUAAGCAAAAAGAAUUUCAUGCGAGUCAGGUAACACUGCAGGGAAGUAAAAUGAACGCUACCUUUUUGAUACAGACCUACAACUAUGGCUGUAACCACUGCAAU
rnacentral:lncRNA from 1 species